GGUUCAAUGGUCUAGUGGUUAUGAUUUCUGUCUUACAGUGCGCUUACGUAAGCUGGACACAGAAGGUCCUGAGUUCGAUCCUCAGUUGAACCA